rnacentral:rRNA from 1 species
GUGGGGAAUAUUGGACAAUGGGCGAAAGCCUGAUCCAGCCAUGCCGCGUGUGUGAAGAAGGCCUUCGGGUUGUAAAGCACUUUAAGCGAGGAGGAAGGUUCGUCACCUAAUACGUGACGGAAUUGACGUUACUCGCAGAAUAAGCACCGGCUAACUCUGUGCCAGCAGCCGCGGUAAUACAGAGGGUGCAAGCGUUAAUCGGAAUUACUGGGCGUAAAGCGCGCGUAGGCGGUUGUGUAAGUUGGAUGUGAAAUCCCCGGGCUUAACCUGGGCACUGCAUUCAAAACUGCACGGCUAGAGUAUUGGAGAGGAAGGUAGAAUUCCAGGUGUAGCGGUGAAAUGCGUAGAGAUCUGGAGGAAUACCGAUGGCGAAGGCAGCCUUCUGGCCAAAUACUGACGCUGAGGUGCGAAAGCAUGGGGAGCAAACAGGAUUAGAUACCCCGGUAGUCC